rnacentral:tRNA from 2 species
GGUUCAAUGGUCUAGUGGUUAUGAUUUCUGUCUUACACACAGAAGGUCCUGAGUUCAAUCCUCAGUUGAGCCA